rnacentral:lncRNA from 1 species
CAUGGUCACAGAGGUUUGUCACUCUAAGCUCAGCCCACUGUUCUGUAGCACCAAAGUGGGCCCUGUCCCUUCCCAGCAGCGCCUUUAGGACCUGCUCUCACUGCUGCACCCGGGUGUAGGUGGGGUUUCUGUGCUGUCACCUCUGACUUCUUACACUCCUCUUCCUCCUGCUCACUUUGUCACUGGCACUUGGGUGUUUUGGGGUACCACACCCUCGGGGUCCCAGCUGCUCCCAGGGCACAGCACCGGGGGGAACAGAGAAGCACCAGGUGUUGUGCAGAGCUCACCUGGCCAGGAGCAGUGCCUCACCUCCUUCCCACGAGCACUGAGAAGGGCACACUGGUGUUUCCAGCCUGCAGCCACACGGGCACCUGGUCCCAGGGUGGAGCAGCCAGCCCAGGGCAUGGCUCGAAGGGCACGGCCACGCCAGCGUUUGUGCAAAGGAAAGGGACCAGGAUUCCGUGGGAGUGUGAUGGAACACAGGGAGAACCUGCUGCUGGGAGCUGCCCCAGCACUCCCUGGAACAUCCCACCCCAGGCUGCUCCACUGACGUUUUCCAGGAACAACAGAAGGAAGAGGCAGCUUAUUGUGCUUAAGACAUCUGAACAAAUCCUGGGUAGGAGACACUCACAGCUUGUGAAUAUUGCUAAUUACUUACAGUUAAGAAAGGAUGGAUCCUGACAGGGACAGGGCCCUGUGGGCCCCCAGGACCUCACGGUGAGUCUGGGCCAUCCCCGCCCUGAGGGUCCCCGCGCUCACGGCCGGUGCCCCCGCGGGGCCGCGGCUCCUGCUUGCCCGCAAACAAGGUGAGCUCGUGCCAGGCCGGGGGUCCUGCUGACCCACCCUCUGCUUGGCGCCCUCAGGGAGAGCUGGGAGGAGCUCCCUGCCCUUGGGAAAGGCCCCCACCAGCCCCUGGGGUGGGAGCAGCUGCCAGCCCACCCAUUCCUCCAGGGAAGGAAAGCUCGGGCAGGCCAGGCAGGGGAGUGAGCUUGUCCAGCUCUCCCCUCAGACUACAAUUGAAAGGUUAAAUAUGAAUAAAUGCUGUAGGUUUAUACA